GCCAGCCAAGAAUUGCCAGUUAAAGCUGCUUACACCACCUUAAAGGAUCUAUAUGCAGAUCAGAGGCACCGCACAGCUCUGCCUGUUCCAUCUGACCAUGCUGCUCCAUUCUUGGCACAGGCUGCUGAUUGUGCUGAACUGCGCAGAAUGCCUGGUUCCCAAAGCAGGAAGAGGACAGGUGUGCACGCGCCUACGUGCAUGGCCAUCAGAGAUUUUUGCCUCAGAGGUACCAUUAGGGUCAGCUGUGGCGCCCUCUGGAGUCCUGCGCUCAUGCCGCGGUAUAUUGGGUGCUGCUGGCCCUACACCCUCUCAGUUCCUUCUUGCCGACAACUGCAACAGAGGGGCAGGAGGGCGGAAUAUGAGCAGAACAACAGUUACAAAAGGCCCAGAUCAUUGCAAAUGGACCGUACCAGAUCAAGGCUCCAUGGCACCUGCUCCGGAGACCUGCCCUUGAUGAGCCAGUCAUUGAGAUAGGGGAAGAUCUGGACCCCCCCCCCCCCAUGUUCAGCCUGGCAUCUGUUUGAUCCGAGAACAGACCAACUCCAUCAAAGGGGAGGUCCUAGAUCAAGGCCUGCAUCUCCUGGGAGAGAUCUGCCAUUUGGAGCCACAGCUGCAGCCUGACCACUGCCACCCUCCUUCCAAGGAAGCUGAAUGGGCCUUCAAUGCCAUGACUUGAAUUCUGCAUUUUAGAACCUGUGACUUUCCCCUGUUGUUAUCUGGACUGGUGAUCUGCUAGGUCACUCCAAUGCUCAACUCUGGAAGCCAGCCUUACCCUGCUCUGAUGUGAGAACCCCCACUCCCAGGCUGUUCACACACAGCCUCUAGCAUUUAAGCUGCUCCCAGAUACAUGAGUGAGAACUUUUGGCCAGCCGUUGCUUAGAUUGUGCAACCAAAUGACACUAGCCAAUAUCUCCGGCCCCAGACACAACCCUAGGAACCUCCGUCUUGCAGUGUCCAGUUAUGCCCACUGGACGCUGCAAGCUUAUAUGAGUUUGUCAAUUUAACAAAGAAAUUCAUAUGAACCAAGCUUGUUAUCCCAAGGGGAGCCUCUGACAUGCUUCAAACCAACCGCACUGCUUUAAGUAGAAUGAACAAAUGUAUUAACUACAAAAGAUAGAUUUUAAGUGAUUAUAAGUCAAAGCACAAGAAGUCAGAUUUGGUCAAUUAAAUAAAAGCAAAACACAUUCUAAGCUGAUCUUAACGCUUUCAGUACCCUUACAAACUUAGUGGCAAAGAGUCCUGUGGCACCUUAUAGACUAACAGACAUAUUGGCGCAUAAGCUUUCGUGGAUGAAUAAAUCUUAGAUGCUUCUCACUACAGGCUGGCUGGUUGC